rnacentral:rRNA from 1 species
GAUGAACGCUGGCGGCGUGCCUAAUACAUGCAAGUCGAGCGAACAGAUGAGGAGCUUGCUCCUCUGACGUUAGCGGCGGACGGGUGAGUAACACGUGGAUAACCUACCUAUAAGACUGGGAUAACUUCGGGAAACCGGAGCUAAUACCGGAUAAUAUAUUGAACCGCAUGGUUCAAUAGUGAAAGACGGUUUUGCUGUCACUUAUAGAUGGAUCCGCGCCGCAUUAGCUAGUUGGUAAGGUAACGGCUUACCAAGGCAACGAUGCGUAGCCGACCUGAGAGGGUGAUAGGCCACACUGGAACUGAGACACGGUCCAGACUCCUACGGGAGGCAGCAGUAGGGAAUCUUCCGCAAUGGGCGAAAGCCUGACGGAGCAACGCCGCGUGAGUGAUGAAGGUCUUCGGAUCGUAAAACUCUGUUAUUAGGGAAGAACAAAUGUGUAAGUAACUAUGCACGUCUUGACGGUACCUAAUCAGAAAACCACGGCUAACUACGU